UUUUUAAGAUAAGAGUGGAUGUGGCAUUUAGUGCCAUGGUGUAGUGACCAUGGUGGUAGUGGAUCAAGGGUUGGACUUGAUGGUCUCAGA